rnacentral:rRNA from 1 species
UACGGAGGGUGCUAGCGUUGUUCGGAAUCACUGGGCGUAAAGCGCGUGUAGGCGGCCCACUAAGUCUGAUGUGAAAGCCCGGGGCUCACCCCCGGAAGUGCAUUGGAAACUGGUGGACUCGAGUCCCGGAGAGGAGGGUGGAAUUCCUGGUGUAGCGGUGAAAUGCGUAGAUAUCAGGAGGAACACCGGUGGCGAAGGCGGCCCUCUGGACGGUGACUGACGCUGAGACGCGAAAGCGUGGGGAGCGAACAGG